rnacentral:rRNA from 1 species
CCUGCCCACUGAAAAUAAUUUAAAGGGCCGCAGUAUUUUGACUGUGCAAAGGUAGCAUAAUCAUUAGUCUUUUAAUUGGAGACUGGAAUGAAUGGCUGGACGAGAAACUAACUGUCUUUAAGUUAAAUUUUGAACUUAACUUUUAAGUGAAAAGGCUUAAAUAAAUUUGAGGGACGAUAAGACCCUAUAAAUCUUAACAUUUAAUUUAUUUAUUAAAUAAUAUUUAUAAGUAAAUAGUUAUUAAAUAAAAAUAAUGUUUUAUUGGGGAGAUAAGAAUAUAAUAUUUAACUGUUUAAAUAAUAUUACAAUUAUUUUUGAUUUAAUUUAGUAGAUCCUUUUUAAAGAUUAAAAAAUUAAGUUACUUUAGGGAUAACAGCGUUAUUUUUUUUGAGAGUUCAUAUCGAAAAAAAAGUUUACGACCUCGAUGUUGAAUUAAAAAUCCUUUAUGGUUGCAGAAGCUGUGGGAGGAAGUCUGUUCGACUUUUAAAAUUUUACAUGAUUUGAGUUCAGACCGGCGUAAGCCAGGUUGGUUUCUAUCUUCUAAGAAAAUAAAAAUUACUCUAGUACGAAAGGAUUGAGUAGUUAAAAUAAUUUUAUCAAUUUGAUUAAUUAUGUUAUUUGUUUGCUUAAA